rnacentral:misc_RNA from 1 species
AAGUCGUAACAAGGUUUCCGUAGGUGAACCUGCGGAAGGAUCAUUAACACGUCUAACAAACGUAUAACCAAACCGUGAACAUGUAGUAUAAACCCCUUUCCCAUGCUGGUUCAAAGUGAUAUGGAGUGGGCAAUAUGGUGGGCAGUUUUUCGGGACUGCUCCUGCUUCAUAUUAGUAUUCUCGAGGUACAACACUUGGAUUGGUGUGGCUAUAACCUAGUCACCAUUGGGUUGCGAUUUCGGUUGCAAUCCUCAACAACAUUUUAACCCCUAACCCCCAUUAACCAUACAUCUGAUAUACAGCUGACCGAAAGGUCAUGUCUGUCGUUAUUAUUAACACAAAGUACAACUCUUAGCAAUGGAUAUCUUGGUUCUC